rnacentral:lncRNA from 1 species
AUAGAUUCAGUGCUUCAGUUUCUCUAUACUUAUUCUUGUUCCGUCAACUGUUUGUUGAAUAUCCACAGUGUGCUGGAACUCUUCUAGUGGGGAAUAAAACAGACAAGAUCUCUGCUGUCUGGUGUGUUAAAUCAUGUAAUUUAGGCCUUUGUAGAAGAACUUUAAUGACUUUGACCUCCACUGACGUAUCUCAUCGAAUACCCGGAUUUGGGGGCUCUGACAAUUAACCCUAAAAUACACAUAUUCUGGAAAUUGCUUCCUUUUUUAAUCAAAUCCAUCAGAUAUUUGCUUAGGUAUUUUUAAUCCCUAAACUGUUUAAUAUGUGUGGCAUUAUAAGGCUUGAUUUUCCUUCUAACAAUACUUAGAUCAAACUUUAUUGCACCUGCUCCUGUUAUUUUCUUUUUUUUUUUUUUUGAGAGUUCAUAAUAUCUCCUUUCUCUCUCUACCAAUCUGGGGAGAUUAAAGUUGCCGAACAUUUACACUAGGUUAGUUUGAGAUGGUGAAUAGAAUCUGACUAUUAUACAAAUUUAGAAAGUUUCUAAAAUGGAAGCUCUAUUUCAAAAAUCAGUUUUUGAGAGUAACUGAAUCCACAUCUCAGACAAAUUUAAUAAGGAUGAUUUAACUUGGGCAUAAUUCAUAACAGAAGUUAUGCUUCUAAAAAUAAACUACACAAAUGGGAGUUCUAUUUGGCCUCCCAUACACAAAGAGGUAGCAGUGUAUGUCUGUGUCUCUUUGCCCUCAGUCAUGAUCUGCUAGCUGUGUUGUCCUUUUCCUUAGUAUAAGGUGCUGGAAUGUCAUUACCUGUGUUCCCAUGCAUGUGUUUUCCAAGAGGCUGGCAAAAUCCAUCCAUGUGUGGUCCAGUGUCCCAUUGUGUCCAUUACUAGUACAGCUUAGCUGACCUCACCCAUGUGCUGCUGCCCUUUUGCAUUUUUCUAUUUUAUCUUGUCUCUGCUUUUAUGUUGCAUUCAGCUUUUCUCUUCUGCACACUGCAAUGUCCUCUCUGUGCAUCCUCUUUUCAUCUGCUUCAGCUCUCAACCAUGUGGGAGAGACCGUUUACCUUUGGGAAAUGAUUUUAUUUUGUCACCGGAAAAACCAACCCUUUCCCCAAGUGCUUAUUUUCUAACACACUCUGGAUCUUGGAAACAGGAAACAGUAAGUAGUUUUUCUUCAUUCCAGAACAUCCUGGGCCAUAGCUGCACAGCAGAGAUCAAAGCAGGCACACAUCAAAAGCACCCCAACCGAGAGGAGCAGCCCUGAAGCUUCAGUGCCUCCGGCUCUUAUUAUCAUCACUGCCUGAGAAUAUGCCCAGGUCACCCUACUGGAGAGGAGACCUGUGCAGUAAAGCCAAGCUACCCCACACAUCUCAGCUGAGACCUGGAUCAGUUGACAAGCAGGCAAAGGCCAGUUACAAGAGCAAGUCCAGCCAAUAUCAGCAAAUCUACCUUAAUGUUGUAUGACACUGAGGUUUGGUGUUAAUUUUUAUGCUGUAAUUUUUAUGCUGCAAUAUUUGCAAUAAAUAAAUGAUAUACCC